UUCGGUUUCGGUUUCAACUUUCCCACACCGAAACCGACUCAGCCCUGACCGAAACCGAGCCGGACCGACCGAUUGACACCCCUACUUUACUCGGCCUAUCCAAACCCCAACCCAUUGUUGAAACUCUCUCGCUAUCCAAAUGCGGCGAUUCUAACUUGGUUGUGCGAAGCUCACAAUUUCAAAUUGCCUUCAUCUUUCUGAAACUCAUCUCCAUGAAGCAUACCUGCAACUCCAACAUCAUGCCUUCACUCGUGAGUUGUAUUCCUACAACGUCGUGUCUUCACUCAUGUCUUGAACUUGACUACAUUGUUGAAAACAUUUCGGGAAACAGAAACAUCAAACACCUUUUUGCAAUUCCAAAAUUUGUUUUUUAGAGCAGAAACGGCAAAACCGUUUCCACUGUUUCUAGACACAGAAACAGGAGAAAAAAAAUCAAACGGGCUGAAAAUAUGAAACUCAAAUCAAACAGAGAAUAGACACAUUUUUAAAAUCAAAAUCAAUCGAUUGAUUUUGCUUUUGAUUUAUAUUUGGUUUUAUAUUCACUUUAGAUCCUAUUUGGAUGUUUGGGCCUUCUACCAAAAAAAAAAAAAAAAAAGAUGUUUGGGCCAAUUUUUUACAUUGUCACCCGAAAAAAUGAAAAAACCCUUCACCAAACUUUUUCCAAACAUAAAAGAUGAAUAUAAUUUGUUACCCACAUUGAUUGAAAUAUUAAAAACAAUACAAUUUUACUUGAUCCCUUAUUUGGUUCAAAAAUAGGUCAUUCGGAAUUUGGAUAUGUUCAACGGUUUUAAUUAUUCAAAACAAAAUUGAACCAAAUCGGGGAAAUAUUCUAGUUUUUAAAAUCAAAAUCGAACCAAAAUGAACUGAGUAAAAGGUACGGAAGUUGGAUUCUCAUACGUACAUCCAGGUGAACAUAUGGAUCCAAACUCUCGCUAGAAAUCAGAAAUAUAUAUUAAGAAUAAAAAAAUGGAAAAUGAUACAAUGCCAAAAUGCCACUCAAAUAGGAGACGCUUCCGAAGCUACUACCCCACCUUCGACAUUGCCAUCAGCAGGGGAGAAACAAAGGGAGCACAACCUGGAAACAGGAACGAAUACUAAAAAAAUCUAUAAUGAGGACCCAUAAGGGCGUCCUUCUCCAGCUCCAUCCGAAUUAAAGCAGGCCAAGAUAGAUUGAGCCGGUACCCAAGAUGAUCUGCACACCGAAGCCGUGCCUUUACAUAUAUCACAAGGCCAUGUAUGGAUAGGAAAGAUACAUUAUCCUAUUUUAAUAAUAGGAACUUGGUCCAUAACACGUGGCAAGAGUGAAGUACACAUUAAGACUUUGUUUUUACCCAAAAUACAGCAAGAUUGGCUUGUUUGGCCAACUAUUGGGUGUCACUGGUAGGUGUGAGACCCACUAGUGUCACCCACCUGUUGGGGUUUUGUGGACCCCAGCAUGUCCGGCUUGGAUGAGCAUGUGUGUCUCAGUCUGCUCGUCGUAAUGUGGUCAUGUAUGCCCGAUGAUGUUAGUUACCUCGCCGAAAACGUGACUUAAUGCGUUUUGAUCCAUAAAUGGACAAAACCAAAUGGACCUUAGAAGAUAUUCAUAACGCUAGGGUAUAAAUAGCUUUUAUAACACUCUCUCCCUCAUUUAUGAUUUUUAGCAAAGUGGGUGAGAGGAGUAAAGAAGAGGGAGAAAAGAUGAAGAAGGAGAGAAAGAAGAGGAAAGAGGCUUAGCUCUUGGAUUCCGGAGCUGCAUCUUACCUUUCCAUCGCCAGAAUAGUGUCCGGUGACUUGAGAUCUUCAUUUUGAGUAUUUGAGAAGGGAAACAAAGAUUUGGAGGUUAUUGAAGUGGCAUUUGAGUUUGGGAAGAGGAUUCCAGGAUUUAGGGUUUUCCAAGUAAAGAUAUGAUUUCUUUCCCUUAAUCUUAUUGUUGUCUUAGAUCCAUAGUACCAUCAAGUAGAUGAGGCUUAGAAUGCGUGGGAAAUGAAGUGGGAAUCACUCUAUUGGGGUUCUAAGAGUUGGAAUGGAAGAAAGAAGGAAAAUAGUAAAAUCUGAGCGAACCGACUAGUGUCUGAACCGCCGAUGUGACCUACCAGUCAUGGUUAACUCCUACUUUUGUUUUAUCGGAUGUAAGCUGUGAUUUUCAUAGAAGACCCAGAUUUUCGAUUUAUAUAAUUUUUUGAUUGGGCUAAAAA